AACGUAGGAGACAAACGUUAUCCGGAGUUACUGGGCGUAAAGGGCGUGUAGGCGGUUUGUUAAGUCUGGCGUGAAAGCUCUCGGCUAAACCGGGAGAGGUCGUUGGAUACUGGCGAACUAGAGGAUGGUAGAGGCGUGUGGAAUUCCGGGUGUAGUGGUGAAAUGCGCAGAUAUCGGGAAGAACACCUAUGGCGAAGGCAGCUCUCUGGGACGGUACUGACGCUGAGACGCGAAAGCGUGGGGAGCGAACAGG
rnacentral:rRNA from 1 species